rnacentral:rRNA from 1 species
UACGGGGGGGGCAAGCGUUGUUCGGAAUUACUGGGCGUAAAGAGCUCGUAGGUGGCCGCUUUAGUCCGACGUGAAAUCCCUCGGCUCAACCGGGGAACUGCGUCGGAGACUGGGCGGCUUGAAUCCGGGAGAGGGACGUGGAAUUCCAGGUGUAGCGGUGAAAUGCGUAGAUAUCUGGAGGAACACCGGUGGCGAAGGCGGCGUCCUGGACCGGCAUUGACACUGAGGAGCGAAAGCCAGGGUAGCAAACGGG